UACGAAGGGGGCUAGCGUUGCUCGGAAUCACUGGGCGUAAAGCGCACGUAGGCGGCUUUUUAAGUCAGGGGUGAAAUCCUGGAGCUCAACUCCAGAACUGCCUUUGAUACUGAGAGCUUGAGUCCGGGAGAGGUGAGUGGAACUGCGAGUGUAGAGGUGAAAUUCGUAGAUAUUCGCAAGGACACCAGUGGCGAAGGCGGCUCACUGGCCCGGUACUGACGCUGAGGUGCGAAAGCGUGGGGAGCAAACAGG
rnacentral:rRNA from 1 species